UACUAAGGGGGCUAGCGUUGCUCGGAAUUACUGGGCGUAAAGCGCACGUAGGCGGUCUUUUAAGUCGGGGGUGAAAUCCUGGAGCUCAACUCCAGAACUGCCUUCGAUACUGGAAGACUCGAGUCCGGGAGAGGUGAGUGGAACUGCGAGUGUAGAGGUGAAAUUCGUAGAUAUUCGCAAGAACACCAGUGGCGAAGGCGGCUCACUGGCCCGGUACUGACGCUGAGGUGCGAAAGCGUGGGGAGCAAACAGG
rnacentral:rRNA from 1 species